rnacentral:lncRNA from 1 species
GCCUGGAGGCGCUGCUAUUUAUUGUAGUCAAGGCAAGGGGGCAGGGUAAGGAGUGCCAGUCAUCUCCAAUGAUCGAUAGGUCACGCGAGUCACGUGUCCACUGGACAGGGGGCCUUUCCCUUUGUGGUAGCCGAGGUGGAGAGGGAGGACAGCAAACGUCAGCGUUUCUUCUAUGCACUUAUCAGAAAGAUCGAAGACUGUGUACUCCUACUAGUUCUGCUACUGCUGUCUUCUAAGAACUUAAAAGGAGGAGCCAGGUGUACAGGCUGAACAUGAAAGUGAACAAGGAGCGUGACCACUGAAGCACAGCAUCACAGGGAGACAGACGUUGGAGCCUCCGGAUGACUGCGGGCCGGCCUGGCUAAUGUCAGACCUCCCACAAGAGGUGGUGGAGCGGAGCGUUCUCUGUCUCCCCUGGAGAGAGGGAGAUUCCCUUUCCGGGUCUGCUAAUAACGGGUGCCUUCCCAGGCACUGGGCCACCGCUAGACCAAGGCCUGCUAAGUAACCAGGGCCUUCCCAGGCACUGGCAUUACCGCUAG